rnacentral:tRNA from 1 species
GCAGGUAUAGCUCAAGCAGUAGAGUUCAUGCUUAGUAUAGACAAGUUCCUGGGUUCAAUUCCCAGUACCUCCU